UCUGCGCGGUCCUCCUGCAAGAAGCAGUGGCAGAGAAGGACUCCAUGGGGCUGGAAGUGUGAGAUGCUGUGGGACUCAUUUGCUGUGCACACAUAAGCCCCUUGCAAAGGCACAGGAAAUAAUAUGUGGACAACUUUGAACAAUGCAGUGACAAGAGCCAUCUCUCUGUACCUAAGAUCUCCCCAGGCUUCACCACCAGCAUUCAACCUGCUGCCAUUAAGGUCUCUAUCCCAAGUGAUCCCUUCCCCUCUCCCAGUGUCUCUGUGACAGUAUCCUCAACAACUGUUCUAUCCACAUGUUUGGAAGAUACCCUUUCAGAAAAUGGAACCCAGCUCCUCACCCUGGAC
rnacentral:lncRNA from 1 species